rnacentral:rRNA from 2 species
AUGAAGGUCUUAGGAUUGUAAAAUUCUUUCACCGGGGACGAUAAUGACGGUACCCGGAGAAGAAGCCCCGGCUAACUUCGUGCCAGCAGCCGCGGUAAUACGAAGGGGGCUAGCGUUGCUCGGAAUUACUGGGCGUAAAGGGCGCGUAGGCGGAUCGUUAAGUCAGAGGUGAAAUCCCAGGGCUCAACCCUGGAACUGCCUUUGAUACUGGCGAUCUUGAGUAUGAGAGAGGUAUGUGGAACUCCGAGUGUAGAGGUGAAAUUCGUAGAUAUUCGGAAGAACACCAGUGGCGAAGGCGACAUACUGGCUCAUUACUGACGCUGAGGCGCGAAAGCGUGGGGAGCAAACAGGAUUAGAUACCCUGGUAGUCCACGCCGUAAACGAUGAUUGCUAGUUGUCGGGCUGCAUGCAGUUCGGUGACGCAGCUAACGCAUUAAGCAAUCCGCCUGGGGAGUACGGUCGCAAGAUUAAAACUCAAAGAAAUUGACGG